AUGCUUCAUCAUUCAAACAGUCGCCAGCAGAGGAACAGAGGAUCAAAAAUCAAAACAUUACUCAAGGUCACCUUGCUCUUAGGUGUGGCUGUUUGGCUUGCGUAUCAGGUGAAGCAUUCUUAUGAUAAGAAAAAUGAGUACUACAAUGCUACCGAGGACCAGCUUUCCCAUGAUGAUAGAAGCAUGUUCCAGGGCAGGAAAGAAAGGCUAGGUACUAAUGGUGAUGGUAAUGUGGAGAAGGCCAUAGAGACAACUGAUGUAAUAGGCAAACAAGAGGAAGAGAAGAGUGGAGAAAGUGUCUUUGAGAAAGACAAUACUGACUCCCAUGAUGAUGAUUCGGGAAACACGGAGAGGUCAGAAGCUGAAGAAGGGCAAGCCAGUCGCGCAGAUGAUAAUGCAGAAGCACAUCGUAAUGAAACAUCUGAAUCCAACUCAUCUGAUGCUGAGACUAAAACUGAUGUCCAUUCAACUGGAGAUGAUGUACCCCAUGAAGAAGAGGCGCAAAGUGAUGGAUCCGCUAAUGCAGGUCAGAUCGAUGCAAGCGGCAAUGGUUCAGAUGGAGAGCAAGCUGAGAAAAAGGGGGCAGUGGAGUCUCAAGCUGACUCUGAGUCCCUCUCUGAAGAUACCAAGGCUGGAACAGGUGACGAGCAUUCCGCUGAGACUCUUCCAGAUGAAACAGGCAACAUACCAGCGGUUCAUAAUGCAAAUCCUCAAGGCGAUGCAGCUUCCAGUACAUCCGAUGCUUAUGGGCAUAGCAACAGUGAGACUGUUCAUGUAGAGAUUGGGUCUGAACAUGAAGGGGCAAGAACAUCAUCUGUGACCACAUCUGGCGAUGCUGAGAAGGGUAAUUCUGUGGAGACUAAUCCAUCUGAUAGCAUCUCAGCAGAAGAAAAGGCUGGUGGUGAUGGCGAGAAGGGUUCAGAAACGAGUACAGCUAACGAGGCGUCAGGUGCCAAGGAAGCAAACCCUGAGGAAGGCAAUGCUGCAGCAGAAGUUCGCGCUGACCAGGCUGCAAAUACGCAGACAGAGAACUCCGAUGGAGCCUCUGCUGCUGCUGAAGGAGCAAAUGGUGGUUCUCUGGAAGAGGCAAAGGCUGUGGAGAACCAGAUUGAUGGAGCUACAAAAGCGUCAAGCAAUGGUGAUCAGGACGAUAUCAAGAUUGAAACCAACACAUCAACCAGUGACGUGCACAAUGAACAUCAGAGCGUCGAUGCCAGUUCUGGGUCGAUCGGCUCAAAUGACACUGGCCCUGAACAAACUGGAAAAACUGAAACCCAGUGA
rnacentral:rRNA from 1 species